rnacentral:tRNA from 1 species
GCCCGGAUGGUGGAAUUGGUAGACACUAGCGACUUAAAAUCGCUUGCCUUAUGGCGUGCCGGUUCAAGUCCGGCUCCGGGCA